CUUAUCUUAUUCUCUCUUCUUUUUUCUGUUCUUCUUCAUCUUUUUCUCUGUCGAUCCCAAUUCAGAAGAAUUGGUUUGAAUCUUGUGUGUGUAAGCUUAGUAACACGGUAGACUGUCAGUGAUGAAGUUAGUUUAGCUUUAUAUGAAGAAGAAUUUGAUGCUGCUAAAGAGAAUUAGAAGUUAGGUUUUCUGAAGUAGGGUUCGUGUAGAACCGGCGAAGAUAUAAUGUUAAUAAUGGAUGAAGAGAAGAGGGGUUGUUGUUGAAUUGAUGUGAUAAAGCUGUUCAAUUGUGGAAUCGAAAGAAAAAGGUAAAUCAUUGAUUUAAUUAGGGUUUCUGUUUUGAUUUCUUUAUGAAAUUGAGUUUGGUUUGAUGUUAUAUUUUAUGGGUUUAUUCUUAAUUGAAGUUAGAUAGAUGUAUUAAGUUUAAUUUCAGUUUCUAGGAAGUUGAAUUGGAAAUUAGGGAUCAUCCUGUUUAGGGUUAGUUGGUAUGGAUUUGGGUCUGUGGAGAAGAAAAUUGGAGUUGUUAUGCUGAUGUUUAACAAGGAGAAGAUGAAGAUCUGUGUGUACAUCAAAGGCAGGAAGAUGGUUUAGAUACAAUGUCUGGUGUUGAUCAGAAUAGAGUUGUAGCAACUCAUGGUUGAUAAUAGAACCAACUGUGUUGGUAGAAUUGGUGAAUUGGGAUUGUUGUUGGUGUUUUGGAAUUAGGGUCAGAUAAGUUGGUUAUGGUGGUGGUGUUGUUGAAGCUAAUGGAGCUGGUGGUGAAAGGUUGCAACAAAUGUAGUUUGAAUGUGUGGGUGUUAGACAUUGUGUGUGUUGAAUGAGUCGAAGUUGAUUGAUAUGAACUAUAUGUAUGAACUGUGCAAGUGAAGUGGCAGAAAUGGUUACAGGGUAACUGGUAGAAGUAUAUGAAGUUUUGUCUUAGAAUGGGUUUUGUGGUGAAGAUGUUAAUGAAGAUUGAUUUUGAUCUAAGCAGUUAAAGUUGUGUUAAUGAAAUGGAAAUGGGAAUGAAAUGGUGGUGAAACUGAGAUAGGUGGAAGUGACGAUUGUAAUGGUGCUGAAAAGGUUGUAAUGUGGAAUGGAUAUGUAAGGGAGAAUUGGCAGUUGAGAUUGUUGGUGUUUUGAGAAUGGUGGCAAUGGUAUUACCAUGAAGACUUGAGUUUUGAGUUCAAGAUACAAACGGGUCUGGUGGUAUGAAUUGUAAGAAUCAAAGUAGGGAUGUUCUUAUUGAAUGAACUUUUCAAGUGAACCCUGGCGUUAUUGUUGCUAGUGUUGGGAAUUGCAAGGUGAAAGGAAAUGAAUUUGGAAAUAGAGAUGUAUGAAUCCGUUAAGAACAAAUGAAGUUAAUGAUGUUAUUGUUGAAAGCUUGUUAGAAAUGAGGAUGGAUGUUAGAUGUAGCUUUUAGGACUGUAUGUAGUUCGAAUAGUGUUUGUAACUGAUUGUUUUUAGCUUUGAGCAUCUUUUCUUUUCAGUCAGAUGUAACUGUUUUAUUUAACUUAGAUUUCUGACUGAGUCGACCUUCUUGACUCAGUGAUUCAA